GACGAACGCUGGCGGCGUGCUUAACACAUGCAAGUCGAACGGUGAAGGGACCAGCUUGCUGGUUCUGGAUGAGUGGCGAACGGGUGAGUAACACGUGAGUAACCUGCCCCCUUCUUCUGGAUAACCGCAUGAAAGUGUGGCUAAUACGGGAUAUUCUGGGUCUGUCGCAUGGCGGGCCCGGGAAAGAUAUUGCUUCGGUGGGGGAUGGGCUCGCGGCCUAUCAGCUUGUUGGUGGGGUGAUGGCCUACCAAGGCGGUGACGGGUAGCCGGCCUGAGAGGGUGGACGGUCACACUGGGACUGAGACACGGCCCAGACUCCUACGGGAGGCAGCAGUGGGGAAUAUUGCACAAUGGGCGCAAGCCUGAUGCAGCGACGCCGCGUGAGGGAUGGAGGCCUUCGGGUUGUAAACCUCUUUCGCCAGUGAAGCGGGCCUGCUCCUUGUGGGUGGGUUGACGGUAGCUGGAUAAGAAGCGCCGGCUAACUACGUG
rnacentral:rRNA from 1 species